UACGUAGGGGGCAAGCGUUGUCCGGAAUCAUUGGGCGUAAAGAGCGUGUAGGCGGCCCGAUAAGUCCGCUGUGAAAGUCCAGGGCUCAACCCUGGGAUGCCGGUGGAUACUGUCGGGCUCGAGUCCGGAAGAGGAGUGUGGAAUUCCGUGGUGUAGCGGUGAAAUGCGUAGAGAUCGGGAGGAACAUCAGUUGCGAAGGCGGCUCUCGUGGACCAGCACUGACACUGAGGCACGAAAGCGUGGGGAGCAAACAGG
rnacentral:rRNA from 1 species